AGGGAAUCUUCCACAAUGGACGCAAGUCUGAUGGAGCAACGCCGCGUGAGUGAAGAAGGUUUUCGGACCGUAAAGCUCUGUUGUUGGUGAAGAAGGAUAGAGGUAGUAACUGGCCUUUAUUUGACGGUAAUCAACCAGAAAGUCACGGCUAACUACGUGCCAGCAGCCGCGGUAAUACGUAGGUGGCAAGCGUUGUCCGGAUUUAUUGGGCGUAAAGCGAGCGCAGGCGGAAGAAUAAGUCUGAUGUGAAAGCCCUCGGCUUAACCGAGGAAUUGCAUCGGAAACUGUUUUCUUGAGUGCAGAAGAGGAGAGUAGAACUCCAUGUGUAGCGGUGGAAUGCGUAGAUAUAUGGAAGAAUACCAGUGGCGAAGGCGGCUCUCUGGUCUGCAACUGACGCUGAGGCUCGAAAGCAUGGUAGCGAACAGGAUUAGAUACCCUGGUAGUCCAUGUCGUAAACGAUGAGUGCUAAGUGUUGGGGAGGCUUCCGCCUCUCAGUGCUGCAGC
rnacentral:rRNA from 1 species